GAUGAACGCUGGCGGCGUGCCUAAUACAUGCAAGUCGAGCGAACGGACGAGAAGCUUGCUUCUCUGAUGUUAGCGGCGGACGGGUGAGUAACACGUGGAUAACCUACCUAUAAGACUGGGAUAACCUCGGGAAAUCGGAGCUAAUACCGGAUGAUAUUUUGAACCGCAUGGUUCAAAAGUGAAAGACGGUCUUGCUGUCACUUAUAGAUGGAUCCGCGCUGCAUUAGCUAGUUGGUAAGGUAACGGCUUACCAAGGCAACGAUGCAUAGCCGACCUGAGAGGGUGAUCGGCCACACUGGAACUGAGACACGGUCCAGACUCCUACGGGAGGCAGCAGUAGGGAAUCUUCCGCAAUGGGCGAAAGCCUGACGGAGCAACGCCGCGUGAGUGAUGAAGGUCUUCGGAUCGUAAAACUCUGUUAUUAGGGAAGAACAUAUGUGUAAGUAACUGUGCACAUCUUGACGGUACCUAAUCAGAAAGCCACGGCUAACUACGUG
rnacentral:rRNA from 1 species